GGGGGUAUAGUUUAAUGGUAAAACGAUGAACUUGCAUUUCGUUAAUUCAAGUUCAAGUCUUGAUAUCUCCA
rnacentral:tRNA from 1 species